rnacentral:lncRNA from 1 species
UAACUUUGUAUUUCAAGCGAACCAGGAGAAACUUCUGUGUUGAUUGCUUUAUCUUUCGUGUGUGUUUUGUUUGCAAAAGUUUUUAUUAUCUGUGAAAACAAUUCAAACCCCCCUUUCUUGUUUUUCUCUACCUUCACUUACCUCAAAAUUUGAGCAAUGCAAUCAAAAUACAUUCAAGUACACAUUAUUUUAACUUCAUAUGAUCAUCCAUUUAUCAACUUCCAAGAUUCAUAACUUCUUCAAUUUUUAACAUUUGAGGUUGAUUCUUU